UGUGGCCCAAACCGAAGGCGUUCCAGAAACCCUGCGCCGGCGGUGUUCGUCGCAGCCAUCGGUUUCUGCUCCACCGGCGGCUUCGCGAACCUCCGGCUCGGCUAAGUGCGGCUUGGCGGCUCGACAUCCGAAUAGUAUACCGAUUCCUAGGUUUUCGACCCUUCCGAAGCCAUUUCCGCCCUCGUUUCAACCAUUUGAGGAGGUAGUUAGGCGCUGGAGUUAGCGUUGUGGGCGACUUCGGUCAAGGCCAAGGAGGAAAGGGCAAGGCUCCCAUGUACGGGUGACGGUGGAUGAGGCGAAGGGCCAUGGAAAACUUGAGGAGGGUUUGUUGUGUCGUAGCGCCUGUUGAAUUCUCUUGGGUUCUUAGUCUUGCAAAUUGUUUUCUUUAGUCUCUGUUGAUUACUUCUAGGCUAGGUUGUCGCAAUUGUUUUUCCUAGGUAUGAACUGCUUAAAUUGAUGAAUGCAUUUUCGUUAUCGAGACUGUUUCCGUGUGAA